UAUUAAGCUUCCAUGACGUGUACGCAAGACAAACAAGGGGACGUCUGUUAUAUUUUGAUUUGACAGCUGUAAUGCGGAUCUGGAAUUUCACAUCAGCUCUCUAGCUGCUGUUUGUGUGGAUCUUUAUUUGUUGCUAGGUUGAGUCUCAUGAUUUCAACUAUUAUCAAAUCUCACAUUUGUAAUCAAUCAAUAAUACAUUUAGCUUUCCGUCAUAAUUUUUUGUCUAAGACAUCUAGAGGGUAUUCUAGACUUUAAAAUAAAUACAAGGCCGAACUGACACAGGAUGUUAUUAUCAUCCUACAAGAUGAAUCUAUUCUCUGAUAUAUGAUACAUUUUGCACAUAGACAUCAUACUAGCCUCACCCAAAACCCCAAAAGCAGCCACUGGUAUAAAAGUAACCAUUGCACUGGUCUAAACAAUUACACUGAAUUAAAGAGCUGGAUUCCACUUAUCUUUCUUUCCAAAAAAACAAAUCUACAAUGGCAAGCCUUGAUUCAAAGGGGGAAAUGUGGACUGAUGGAGAUGUGUAUGUAUUCACAGUGAAUGUAAGUGAGUUUGCACCAGAAGAAGUUAUUAUAACCUCCACCAAUAAUGCAAUACAAGUCUGUGCAGAAAAGUUGGCAUCAGAUGGCACAAUUCUGGACACCGUUUAUCAGAAAUGCCAGUUCCCAGCUGAUGUGGAUCCAAUGUCAGUCACAUCUUCUCUAGAGAAAGAUGGUUUGUUGAGUAUUAAAGCUCAGAAACAAACAGCAAAAG